rnacentral:rRNA from 1 species
AGCGCGGGUGCGAGUCGGAGGGUGCAAGCCCGUGGGCGAAGUGAAAGCGAGUUUAAAAACGAGCAGUUUGGGGCGGCAUAAGAUCGUUGAUCUUAAGACCGACCCAGAGCAGUUGCGCUGGGACCCGAAAGAUGGUGAACUAUGCCGGAGUAGGGCAAAGCCAGAGGAAACUCUGGUGGAGGCUCGUAGCGGUGCUGACGUGCAAAUCGCUCGUCGAACUUGGGUAUAGGGGCGAAAGACUAAUCGAACCAUCUAGUAGCUGGUUCCCUCCGAAGUUUCUCUCAGGAUAGCGGGCCGACAAGUUGUUUUGUGCGGUAAAGCGAAUGAUUAGCGCAAUCGGGGGCGUUUAGCCUUCGGGCGAUUCUCAAACUUUCAAUGCGCAAGGGUGCCGCUGCUUAAUUGAGCGGUACCGGUAAAAACGUCGGCCCUGUGGGCCACUUUUGGUAAGCAGAACUGGCGAUACGGGAUGAACCGUAAGCAAGGUUAAGGCGCCAAACUGCCCGCUUAUAGAUCCCACAAAAGGUGUUGAUUCAUCGAGACAGCAGGACGGUGGCCAUGGAAGUCGGAAUCCGCCAAGGAGUGUGUAACAACUCACCUGCCGAAUGAAUUAGCCCUGAAAAUGGAUGGCGCUUAAGCGGGCGGCCGACACCUUGCCGUCUGAACAAGAAUUUCAGAUGAGUAGGAGGGCGUGGCGGCCGUGUCGAAGCGCGCGUGCAGACGCGUGUGGAACGGCCGCUAGUGCAGAUCUUGGUGGUAGUAGCAAGUAUUCAAGCGAGAUCCUUGAAGGGCGAAGUGGGGAAGGGUUUCACGCGAACAUUGAUUGGGCGUGAGUGAGUCGUUCCUAAGCCGAGUGGCAAUUGCUAAUUAACGGCGAAAGGGAAGCGGGUUGACAUUCCCGCACACGGAUGUGGAGGCGGCGACGCAUUAUUGGGGCGAACACGCUGGCGAUGGCGCUGGGCAGAGUUGUCUUUUCUGUUUGACCGCUUGCGCACGCAGUGUGGAAUCCGCUUGUAGGGAGAAACACGCGUGUUCGGGCAGAGCGCUGGGUCUUUUCCAGCGUCCAGCUCGCCAUCGACGGCCCUUGAAACUUUGCCUGCUG